CCGGUUCCGGUUCACGCCCGAGUCCGUCGCGCACCAGGCGGCGGGGGAUCAGCGGCGACCCGGCGACC
rfam:Micromonospora rifamycinica strain AM105 contig209, whole genome shotgun sequence.